rnacentral:ncRNA from 1 species
UUAAGUGCAAUGAUAGAGAGAGUAUGUUAGCUCUAAUUGAUACAGGGAGGAUACUGUCAUAGAUUGAGAACAGUCCCAAAUCGCUAACAGAAAUUCACUCUGGAGUAUCUGUGCUGAAGGGGUAACUUGUGUAAGCCAGACGUUAUUUUCUGCGUUAAAGAAGCUGAGUACUAAAUUAGGGUGGUACCGCGGGAGUAAGACUUUCGCCCCUUAG